rnacentral:rRNA from 1 species
GACGAACGCUGGCGGCGUGCUUAACACAUGCAAGUCGAACGGAAAGGCCCUGCGCUUGUGGGGUGCUCGAGAGGGGAAGGGGGGAGUAACACGCGAGUAACCUGCACUUGACUUAGGGGUAACAUCAGGAAACUGGGGCUAAUACAGGAUAGGAGCUACUGAUGCGUGGUGGGGGUUGGAAAGUUUCGGCGGUUGGGGCUAGAAUCGCGGCUUAUCAGCUUGUUGGUGGGGUAGUGGCUUACCAAGGCUUCGAAGGGUAGGCCGCCUGGGAGGGUGGCCGGCGACAAUGGGACUGCGGGACGGCCCAGACUCCUACGGUAGGCAGUAGUCGGAAGUAUUGCGCAGUGGGCCGAAGCCUGAUACAGCAACGCCGCGUGCGGGAUGACGUCCUUCGAGUUAUAAACCACUUUCUCCUUUGACGUGGCGUUAGUGACGGUAAUUGGUAAAGAAGCACCGGCUAACUACGUG